GCUGGGCGUGGUGGCUCAUGCCUGUAAUCCCAGCACUUUGGGAGGCUGAGGUGGGAGGAUCACUUGAGGUCAGGAGUUUGAGACCAGCCUGACCAACAUGGUGAAACCCCAUCUCUA
rnacentral:SRP_RNA from 1 species